AACAGAGGGGGCGAGCGUUAAUCAUCAUGACUGGGCGUAAAGGGUGCGUAGGCGGACAUUAUUAAAACGGCUUGAGGGGAAUGAUUGCGUAUCGACGCAAACCUGCUUCUUGCAAUGUUUGUCUACUGAGAUAAGAUGGGGUUAGUGGAAAGUGAUGUCGAAUGGGCUAAGCUCCAACAUAUCAAGUAACACCAAUAGCGAAGGCAGCUAACCGGACUUAAUCUGACGCUGAUUGCACGAAACUUAUGGGAGCGAGAUGG
rnacentral:rRNA from 1 species